AUGCAAAGGUCAGCACCAAGGCCAGAGACUAGCCCAGCUUCAAUGAAAGAACUGAUGUUAGAGCUUGGCUUCAAAGAUACAAAGUUCGCGCCAAAACAACUGUUCGAGAAGCUACAAAUAUUGGUGGAAAUAGAUGAUGAAGAAUCAAACAGGAAAUCGGUUAAAAUAUUUUUCCUUAUUUUUUUCCACAAUGUUGUCUGCGGGUCAAGCACCGCUAUCUUCGCCCGGACAGCUAUAAUGGUCAAGGACAUGGACUAUCCAGAAAUGGCAAAGAUGGAUUUUUGUGAGGUAAUCGUUGAAUGUAUUAGGGAAGGAGCCAAGACAUGGCAGAAGCACAGGAUGUUUCCUCGGGAGGAAAAGAACAAAAAGCACAUCAAUGGUUUGGCACAGGUACCAGUAAUCAUGUACCUUGACUCCCACCUGCUGCCAACCGACACAAAAGAAAUGCGGAAGAUUGCAAAGACAAUGGACAAAAUCUCAUUACCACGAGCAAACCAUCUCAAAGAGAGUGACCUAGCGAAAAUAGCUAGAGCAGACAUGAAAAUGGACGGAAAAGCACGACCAGAUGACUAUGAAUUUGGCAAGAUACAGGAACGUACCAAUAGCACACCAGGCCAAGAUGAACUCCAACAGCGGGAUGGCGUCAACAACCCCAAAAACAAGAAUGAACGCAACAAACAAAGCAACCUCACAACAAACAGUGCUACAACAUCAACUACUCCAACACAAGCACAAGAUACGAUCGACGUCAGAACCAGUGAAGAGGCUCAGCUGAAGAACAAUCAAGUCAGCAGUACCGUCAACCAAAUGCAGGAGGCUCACCCACAAUCAACCGUUAGCAUAACAAACGACAAAGAAGAAGAAAACAACGAAGAGGAGGUAUCACAAUCACUCCAAGACCAAGAGACAACCAGUGUUGAAAUUGAACCCCAUAGUGAACCUCAAACAGACGAAGGAGUCACAGAACAGGAAGUUUGUGCACAAGAGAUUUCCAGUGCCACGACAUUGCAGAUCACCAUCACGAGUACAAAGGAGAAAACCCAAGACAUCCAAGCCAAUGAGGAACUAGAGACUGUUAUACCUGGCAAAGAAAUAGUCGAUGCGGGCACAAAUAACCCAGUCAUCAACACAGAGGAAACAAACAAGUACAUUGAUCUGGAAGAUCAAGAAGCAGCGCAACCAAAGGAAACUGGAAAACACCCAGAACUUCAAACAACAACAUCUGAAGAGAGAGAGGAGACAGAUGAGGAAAAGGAGGCCAAAGAAGAAGAGCAAAAUGUUCAUCAAACGGCAGACAUCAACGUCAAAGAAGACCAAGCGCCAAAAUAUUCACUCACCGAAAAAACCACAGCAGAGACGGCAGCAGCGACAGCGACUGAAAAGUUCCUUCUACCAUGUUCGUUGAGCGGGUUUGAGCAAGACGAAACUAUAAGUCAUUACUUCACCAUCACAGUUAACAUGCAAAAACAGCGUUUUGAACUCCUCGACUCUUCAACUGCAUAUCCAGGCACAAUAGAAUUCUUCAACAAUGUAACCAGCAAAUUAAUGAAAAUCUGGAAGCACAUAAGCACAGAGCUACAGCUUUCAGAAAAAAGCAUCGACCAUUACAAAAAGGUCAUACUGCAGGUGCCACUUCAAGGAGAAGACACAAUGGAUUGCGCAUUCUACAUGUACAUGAACCUGAAGCACUACUCCAGUGAUGGAACAACAGCAACCUUAAAGCUAGAACAAGUACGAAAGUUGAGGAAAAAGGUUCUAUAUCAACUAAUCAGCCAACACAGAGGGAAUACAAAACUGUCACUAAUCAAGUGUAGAACAGAUAUGCUGAAAUAUGAAGUAGAUAUGGAAGACAAAGAAAUACAACAAGCAGAAUGUUGCGUACUAGAAGAGUUUCCGCCAACUACCGGGCCAAAAGAACAUAUUAUGCAUGCGGCAACCACACAAGAGCAUGAAGUUAUUGAUAUAUCCAGUAAACGCAAAGAUAUUAUGGAUGUCAGCAGCCACGCCGUCGCCCAGCAAUCUUUCACAGUCCACGAACAAAAUGAUCCACCAAUAGAACCAGAUCAACCACCACCAGACGACAAGAUACCACACCAUGCCGAAGAGGAAACAGACAAGCAAAAUAUCAACAGCAAUAUCACGACCACAGAGCAACUGGAACAAACAGGCACUGAUUUAAAAGAGGAUGGCAGAAGCAACGACGUACCAAAUACACAACAACAGGUUUCCGAGCAGAAGAAACAGCAUGUUCUUCUUCAAGAAGAAACAGGCUCAACAAGCAAUCAGCAAGGCACCUCCAGCACCAUCUCUUUAGACUUCCUAAAACCAAAACAAUGGAAAAGCAAGAAGAAGUUGACGAAUUUCUUUCAAGCCUUAACCCACUACAACUAG
rnacentral:rRNA from 1 species